AGCUAAGCGAACAAGAGCGCACAGCGGAUGCCUUGGCACUUGAGAUCGAAGAAGGACGCAGCAAGCCCGCGAAAGUGAUCGGUGAGGAGCAAACAUCCAUAGACCCGAUCGUGUCCGAAUGGGGCAACCCAGCAACCUUUCAGGUUGUUAUCCCACGAUGAAUAAAUAGUCGUGAGGAAGGUAAGCCGGCCAACUGAAACAUCUUAGUAACCGGUAUAGAAAAAAGCAAAUAGCGAUUCCCCCAGUAGCGGCGAGCGAAAAGGGAACAGCCUAAACCGUUUAUGCAUGCGGUUUGCAGACUUAGUAUAAGCGGUGUAGUGAGGCAACAAUUUUGGCACUGCAAUGCCAAAGAGAAGUUACAAAGGUUCUGAUUAAUCGAAUGGCGUGGAAAAGCCAACCACAGAAGGUGACAGUCCUGUAGGUGAAAGUCAGACUCUUCUCUGUUGUCCUCGAGUACCACGGGGCACGUGAAAUCCUGUGGGAAUCCGGGAGGACCAUCUCCUAAGGCUAAACAUCUCAGUGACCGAUAGUGAACAAAGUACCGCGAGGGAAAGGUGAAAAGAACCCCGGAAGGGGAGUGAAAUAGAAUCUGAAACUGUGUGCUUACAAGCAGUGGGAGCACCAUGUCAGAGCAAUCUGACGGUGUGACCGCGUGCCUAUUGAAGAAUGAGCCAGCGAGUUAUUUUAUCCAGCAAGGUUAAGGGAUCACCCGGAGCCGAAGGGAAACCGAGUCUUAAUAGGGCGUGAGUUGGAUAGAAUAGACCCGAAGCCGUAGUGACCUACCCUUGGUCAGGUUGAAGUGGGGCUAACCCCCCAUGGAGGACCGAACGGGUUGUGGGAAAAAACACAUCCGAUGAACUGUGGGUAGCGGAGAAAUUCCAAUCGAACACGGCGAUAGCUGGUUCUCCCCGAAAUGCAUUUAGGUGCAGCCUCGACUAAAUUGAUACAUGGGGGUAGAGCACUGGAAAGGCUAGGGCCCUCACCAGGGUACCAACCCUUACCAAACUUCGAAUACCAUGUAUUUUACGUCGGGAGUGACUCUGCGAUAGAUAACUACCGUAGGGGAAAGGGAAACACCCCGGACCGCCUGCUAAGGUCCCUAAUACAAGCUAAGUGAUAUUAAGGAAGUGGGAUUACUGAGACAGCUAGGAUGUUGGCCCAGAAGCAGCCACCAUUUAAAGAGUGCGUAACAGCUCACUAGUCAAGUGAUUCUGCGCCAAAGAUGUACGGGUCUUAAGCUUGUAACCGAAGCAGCGGAUUCAGUAAUGAGUGGUAGGGGAGCGUUCCUGUUGGAGUGAAGGUAUACCGUAAGGAGUGCUGGACUGACAGGAAGUGAGUAUGCUGGCUUGAGUAGCGCAAAGCAAAGCGAGAAUCUUUGCCGCCGAAAAUCUAAGGUUUCCUGGGGAAGGCUCGUCCGCCCAGGGUUAGUCGAUCCUAAGCCCAGGCCGAAAGGCGUAAGUGAAGGACAAGCAGGUUAAUAUUCCUGCACCACAGGUUGUCGUUAUGAGCGAUGGAGUAGCGGAGAAAGGUAAGUCAACCGAGGUAUUGGUUAUCCCUCGGCCUGCGCCGUAGGUUGUCCAGGCAGGAAAAUCCACUUGGAUAUAACUGAGGGCGUGAGGGGAGCCGCAAGGUGAAGUGACCCAACUAUGCUUCCUAGAAAAACUUCUAGCCAGACAGCUGGUGAUCGUACCGCAAUCCAACACAGGUAGAUAGGGAGAAGACUCCCAAGGCGUUCGAAAGAACUCUGGUCAAGGAACUAGGCAAAAAAGCCCCGUAACUUCGGAAGAAGGGGUACCCCAGGGGUGUGGAAAGGUCUCUUUCCAUAUCUAGCAUGGGGUCACAGGAAAUAGAGUCAGGCGACUGUUUAACAAAAACACAGGUCUGUGCUUAAGUAGGAAUACCACGUAUACAGGCUGACGCCUGCCCAGUGCUGGAAGGUUAAGAGGAGAGGUUAGCGCAAGCGAAGCUUUGAAUCGAAGCCCCAGUGAACGGCGGCCGUAACUCUAACGGUCCUAAGGUAGCGAAAUACCUUGUCGGGUAAGUUCCGACGCGCAUGAAUGGCGUAACGAUCUGACUGCUGUCUCGACCAGAGAUUCGGUGAAAUAGCAGUGCCCGUGAAGAUGCGGGCUACCUGCGGCAGGACGGAGAGACCCCGUAGAGCUUUACUGUACCCUGACAUUGGAAUUUGAUUUGAUCUGUGCAGGAUAGGUGGGAGGCUUUGAAGCCGGAGCGCUAGCUUCGGUGGAGCCAACGUUGAGAUACCACUCUCUUCAAAUUAGGUUUCUAACUGACAGCCUUGAAUCAGGCGUCAGGACAAUGCCAGGCGGGCAGUUUGACUGGGGCGGUCGCCUCCUAAAAGGUAACGGAGGCGCCCAAAGGUCUGCUCAGCGUGUUUGGAAAUCACGCAAAGAGUGCAAAGGCAUAAGCAGGCUUAACUGCAUAGGUUGACGGACCAAGCAGAUGGGAAACCAGGGCUUAGUGACCCGACGGUUGCGUAUGGAAGCGCCGGAGCUCAACGGAUAAAAGUUACCUCGGGGAUAACAGGCUUAUUGCUCCCAAGCGUCCACAGCGACGGGGCAGUUUGGCACCUCGAUGUCGGCUCGUCUCAUCCUGGGGCUGUAUAAGGUCCCAAGGGUUGGGCUGUUCGCCCAUUAAAGAGGCACGCGAGCUGGGUUCAGAACGUCGUGAGACAGUUCGGUCCUUAUCCGCCGCAGGCGUUGGAGAAUUGAUGGAUGCUGCCCCUAGUACGAGAGGACCAGGGCAGAGGAACCUCUGAUGUACCAGUUAUCACACCAGUGGUAGGCGCUGGGUAGUCAUGUUCCGUUGGAUAAACACUGAAGGCAUCUAAGUGUGAAGCCAUUCCAAAGAUGAGUUCUCCCGCCUCUAGAAGGCAUAAGACCUCCGGAAGAACACCGGGUUGAUAGGCACAAGCUGUAAGCGCAGCAAUGCGUUGAGGUGAUGUGUACUAAUAGGUCGAAGGCUUAGCUAUUUAA
rnacentral:rRNA from 1 species